UCAUUCUCUUUCUUUCUUCUCGUUCUUUCUUCCUUCUUCUGCUUCUCCUAUAAUUUCUCCUCUGUCGAUUUCCGAGAGAUGGAAUUGGGUUUUGUUGGAGGGAAUUAGUUAGUGAAGCUGUGUAGAUGUAUGAGAUGUAGUUGUCGUGAAUUAUGAAGAAGAACAAAUAGAGAUGUCGGGUUCGUUAUUGAUUCAAGGAGAUUUAGAAAUUAGGGUUUUCGAUUGAUUUCGAGUCUGUAUAGAAUUGAUAAGAGUAUUGGGUUGUUGAGAGUGAUGAAGAAGGAGAGUUUAUGCUUAAUUGAGUUAUGGAGUUGUUUUAAUGAAGGAGUGAAUAAUUAGGGUUUCUGAGAUUUGAAAUCGGUUGAAGAUUUAUGAGAUGGAAUUAAGUAUAAGGGGGGGUUUGUGGUUUGAUUGAAGAUGUGUGGCUGUUUUGAUGAAGAAUCGGUGAAUUAGGGUUUCUGGAAUUGAAUUAGGGUUUCUAAGAAGAACGCAUAGGUUAUCUAGCAGAUGGGAUUGAUGUUAUGGGAUGUUGAUAUAAGAUGGGUUUGGAUUGAAUUAGAGUUAAGGUUGAAGAAUAAUUUAAAAUUGAUGGAUUAGGGGAUUGAAUUAAUGAUGGGUUCUGUUGAUAUGAAGAAUUGGGUUACUGUUCUUGGUUUGAAUUAGAGAAGUCUUGAGUUGGGAAUUAAGUUAGGGUUCACCGAGAAACGAUGCAGGUGAUGAGGAUUGUUGAGAUAGUUCUGCGAAUUAGGUGAUAAAGAAGAAUUGAUUUCAGUAAUUGAGCAAGCUAAAUCAAAGGUAACUGCUUUCUUAGUUAAGUUACUGGAAUUAUUCAUAUUCAUUUUUGGAUUCAUGUGUGGACUUGUGAAGUUAUGAUCUGAAGUUGAUAUGGAACGAAGCUGGGUCUAGUGGUGGUUUAGAGUUACUGAACAAGACGAAAGCUGGUGGUGUUGCUGUCUUCAAUAGAUUGGAAUUUCAGAUGAGUACUGAGUUAAUUGAGCUGGUACAUGAGAAAGGAGAGGUAAGUUGAAGUGAAUAGAACUAAAGUUGUAAUAUGAUAUAGCAGGUGAUUGUUUGUAUUGGUUUGAAUUCAGUUGCAGAUGCUUAUGAUAUUAAUAGUGCAGAUGCAGGGUGAAUGUAAUUGUGUAAGUGAAUGAUUGGAGAUGAUUUAUAAGAAUUAGAUGAAUGAGCUAGGUAUAUGUAUGAACUGUGCAGGUGGAGUGUAAAUGGAAUUUGGGUAUGUGGUGGUUAUGGUUUUGGUACAUAAAAAGAGUAGAGUUCUUUGUUAAGGAUGUGAUUACAGAAGUGAAGAUGUGCAGCAAACUUGGAUGAGUCGAGUGUUUGGUUUUAGUUAUUGCAGAUGUAUCUUAUGGAUGUAAUGGGAUUGCUUGACGGUACAGUUUAGAGGUUGAGUUAAAGGUGUUAACUGAUGCAGUUAGAAUUGUGGUUGAUGUUUAGAGGAUUAUGCUAAGUCGAAUCUUUCUAGUGAAAGCUUGGAACUGCAAUUGCAGUUUCAGAGACAUAUCAGAGUUGCACAGCGAAAGCUUCAAGGAGUUGAGUUCGUAGUUGGUUAACUUCUGCUAAGUUUAUUAUGUUGUAUAUUAUAUUUUAAACCAAAUGACCAUUGUAUCUGUAUCAUUUGAGAUGAGUUCUUGUAUAUAUAUAUUUCAGAGCGGGGCUAGUUUUUGGGUUUAGUUUUUUAGCAGAUUUCUUAAUUGAAUGUUUAAGUA